ACAAUGGAAAGAGGAGCAGCUUGUUUGAUUCCCCAAUUUUCGUCAAUUUUUUCCUCUUUUGGGUGUUUUCCUUUCUGUUUUGAUUUUUCUUUUGGUGCGACUUUCUGAAAAUCAUCAAGCUGUCUUUUAUCAUGGUCUGUAAUUCUCCCCCAAAUUUGAAAGAGAAAAGAUUGAUAGAGACGACACAUAAAGAAAUUAUCUUCUCUUGAAAGAAC
rnacentral:ribozyme from 13 species